rnacentral:lncRNA from 1 species
AGUACAUUACCUCUUUGGAUCCGAACAGGUCAAGAAAGAAGCAAGUUAUUACUGGACAAGAUAAUUAUAUGAUAACACCUUGUAAUUUCUCAAUUUUUAAUUCUACUAUCUGGGUAUUAGAUAUUGAAAGCUCUUUUAAUAUUUGUAAUUCGUUGCAGGAUCUGUAGGUCAGUAGGAGAUAUGAAGAAGGCGAAAGAUUUCUC